ACAGCACCUUGGCCUACCCACCUC
rnacentral:siRNA from 1 species